ensembl:snRNA U6 U6 spliceosomal RNA
GUGCUAGCUUCAGCAGAACAUAUACUAAAAUUGGAACUAUACAGAGAAGAUUAGCAUGGCCCCUGCACAUGGAUGAUACGCAAAUUCCAUAUUUUU